rnacentral:rRNA from 1 species
CUAGUUGGGGGGGUAAUGGCCCACCAAGGCGACGACGGGUAGCUGGUCUGAGAGGAUGGCCAGCCACAUUGGGACUGAGAGACGGCCCAGACUCCUACGGGAGGCAGCAGUGGGGAAUCUUGCGCAAUGGCCGAAAGGCUGACGCAGCGACGCCGCGUGGGGGAGGAAGGCCUUCGGGUUGUAAACCCCUGUUGCCCGGGACGAAUGUGCACUUUAGAGUGCAUUGACGGUACCGGGUGAGGAAGCACCGGCUAACUCCGUGCCAGCAGCCGCGGUAAUACGGAGGGUGCAAGCGUUGUCCGGAAUCACUGGGCGUAAAGGGCGCGUAGGCGGCUCAUAAAGGCUGUGGUGAAAGUUCGGGGCUCAACCUCGAAUCGGCCGUGGCGACUUGUGGGCUGGAGCACUGUAGAGGCAGGUGGAAUUCCGGGUGUAGCGGUGGAAUGCGUAGAGAUCCGGAAGAACACCAGUGGCGAAGGCGGCCUGCUGGGCAGUGGCUGACGCUGAGGCGCGACAGCGUGGGGAGCAAACAGGAUUAGAUACCCUGGUAGUCCACGCCGUAAACGAUGGGCACUAGGUGCUUGGGGGAGCGACCCUCUGAGUGCCGGCGCUAACGCAUUAAGUGCCCCGCCUGGGGAGUACGGCCGCAAGGCUGAAACUCAAAGGAAUUGACG